rnacentral:rRNA from 1 species
AUUGAACGCUGGCGGCAGGCCUAACACAUGCAAGUCGAGCGGAUGAAGGGAGCUUGCUCCUGGAUUCAGCGGCGGACGGGUGAGUAAUGCCUAGGAAUCUGCCUGGUAGUGGGGGAUAACGUCCGGAAACGGGCGCUAAUACCGCAUACGUCCUGCGGGAGAAAGUGGGGGAUCUUCGGACCUCACGCUAUCAGAUGAGCCUAGGUCGGAUUAGCUAGUUGGUGGGGUAAAGGCCUACCAAGGCGACGAUCCGUAACUGGUCUGAGAGGAUGAUCAGUCACACUGGAACUGAGACACGGUCCAGACUCCUACGGGAGGCAGCAGUGGGGAAUAUUAGACAGUGGGCGAAAGCCUGAUCCAGCCAUGCCGCGUGUGUGAAGAAGGUCUUCGGAUUGUAAAGCACAUUAAGUUGGGAGGAAGGGCAGUAAGUUAAUACCUUGCUGUUUUGACGUUACCAGCAGAAUAAGCACCGGCUAACUUCGUG